rnacentral:tRNA from 1 species
GCCUGAGUGGCUUAGUCAGUUAAGCGUCUGACUUCAGCUCAGGUCAUGAUCUCAUGGUUUGUGGGUUCGAGCCCUGUGUGGGGCU